GGUUAAGCGACUAAGCGUACACGGUGGAUGCCCUGGCAGUCAGAGGCGAUGAAGGACGUGCUAAUCUGCGAAAAGCGUCGGUAAGGUGAUAUGAACCGUUAUAGCCGGCGAUGUCCGAAUGGGGAAACCCAGUGUGAUUCGUCACACUAUCGUUAACUGAAUACAUAGGUUAACGAGGCGAACCGGGGGAACUGAAACAUCUAAGUACCCCGAGGAAAAGAAAUCAACCGAGAUUCCCCCAGUAGCGGCGAGCGAACGGGGAGCAGCCCAGAGUCUGAAUCAGCUUGUGUGUUAGUGGAACGGUCUGGAAAGUCCGACGGUACAGGGUGAUAGUCCCGUACACCAAAAUGCACAGGUUGUGAACUCGAAGAGUAGGGCGGGACACGUGGUAUCCUGUCUGAAUAUGGGGGGACCAUCCUCCAAGGCUAAAUACUCCUGACUGACCGAUAGUGAACCAGUACCGUGAGGGAAAGGCGAAAAGAACCCCGGCGAGGGGAGUGAAAAAGAACCUGAAACCGUGUACGUACAAGCAGUGGGAGCACCUUCGGGUGUGACUGCGUACCUUUUGUAUAAUGGGUCAGCGACUUAUAUUCUGUAGCAAGGUUAACCGUAUAGGGGAGCCGCAGGGAAACCGAGUCUUAACUGGGCGUUAAGUUGCAGGGUAUAGACCCGAAACCCGGUGAUCUAGCCAUGGGCAGGUUGAAGGUUGGGUAACACUAACUGGAGGACCGAACCGACUAAUGUUGAAAAAUUAGCGGAUGACUUGUGGCUGGGGGUGAAAGGCCAAUCAAACCGGGAGAUAGCUGGUUCUCCCCGAAAGCUAUUUAGGUAGCGCCUCGUGAACUCAUCUUCGGGGGUAGAGCACUGUUUCGGCUAGGGGGUCAUCCCGACUUACCAACCCGAUGCAAACUACGAAUACCGAAGAAUGUUAUCACGGGAGACACACGGCGGGUGCUAACGUCCGUCGUGAAGAGGGAAACAACCCAGACCGCCAGCUAAGGUCCCAAAGUCAUGGUUAAGUGGGAAACGAUGUGGGAAGGCACAGACAGCCAGGAUGUUGGCUUAGAAGCAGCCAUCAUUUAAAGAAAGCGUAAUAGCUCACUGGUCGAGUCGGCCUGCGCGGAAGAUGUAACGGGGCUAAACCAUGCACCGAAGCUGCGGCAGCGACACGAUGUGUUGUUGGGUAGGGGAGCGUUCUGUAAGCCUGCGAAGGUGUGCUGUGAGGCAUGCUGGAGGUAUCAGAAGUGCGAAUGCUGACAUAAGUAACGAUAAAGCGGGUGAAAAGCCCGCUCGCCGGAAGACCAAGGGUUCCUGUCCAACGUUAAUCGGGGCAGGGUGAGUCGACCCCUAAGGCGAGGCCGAAAGGCGUAGUCGAUGGGAAACAGGUUAAUAUUCCUGUACUUGGUGUUACUGCGAAGGGGGGACGGAGAAGGCUAUGUUAGCCGGGCGACGGUUGUCCCGGUUUAAGCAUGUAGGCUGGUUGUCCAGGCAAAUCCGGAUAAUCAAGGCUGAGGUGUGAUGACGAGGCACUACGGUGCUGAAGUAACAAAUGCCCUGCUUCCAGGAAAAGCCUCUAAGCAUCAGGUAACAUUAAAUCGUACCCCAAACCGACACAGGUGGUCAGGUAGAGAAUACCAAGGCGCUUGAGAGAACUCGGGUGAAGGAACUAGGCAAAAUGGUGCCGUAACUUCGGGAGAAGGCACGCUGGUGUGUAGGUGAAGCCCCUGCGGGUGGAGCUGAGACCAGUCGAAGAUACCAGCUGGCUGCAACUGUUUAUUAAAAACACAGCACUGUGCAAACACGAAAGUGGACGUAUACGGUGUGACGCCUGCCCGGUGCCGGAAGGUUAAUUGAUGGGGUUAUCCGUAAGGAGAAGCUCUUGAUCGAAGCCCCGGUAAACGGCGGCCGUAACUAUAACGGUCCUAAGGUAGCGAAAUUCCUUGUCGGGUAAGUUCCGACCUGCACGAAUGGCGUAAUGAUGGCCAGGCUGUCUCCACCCGAGACUCAGUGAAAUUGAACUCGCUGUGAAGAUGCAGUGUACCCGCGGCAAGACGGAAAGACCCCGUGAACCUUUACUAUAGCUUGACACUGAACAUUGAGCCUUGAUGUGUAGGAUAGGUGGGAGGCUUUGAAGCGUGGACGCCAGUCUGCGUGGAGCCAACCUUGAAAUACCACCCUUUAAUGUUUGAUGUUCUAACGUUGGCCCCUGACCGGGGUUGCGGACAGUGUCUGGUGGGUAGUUUGACUGGGGCGGUCUCCUCCCAAAGCGUAACGGAGGAGCACGAAGGUUAGCUAAUCCUGGUCGGACAUCAGGAGGUUAGUGCAAUGGCAUAAGCUAGCUUGACUGCGAGCGUGACGGCGCGAGCAGGUGCGAAAGCAGGUCAUAGUGAUCCGGUGGUUCUGAAUGGAAGGGCCAUCGCUCAACGGAUAAAAGGUACUCCGGGGAUAACAGGCUGAUACCGCCCAAGAGUUCAUAUCGACGGCGGUGUUUGGCACCUCGAUGUCGGCUCAUCACAUCCUGGGGCUGAAGUAGGUCCCAAGGGUAUGGCUGUUCGCCAUUUAAAGUGGUACGCGAGCUGGGUUUAGAACGUCGUGAGACAGUUCGGUCCCUAUCUGCCGUGGGCGCUGGAGAAUUGAGGGGGGCUGCUCCUAGUACGAGAGGACCGGAGUGGACGCAUCACUGGUGUUCGGGUUGUCAUGCCAAUGGCACUGCCCGGUAGCUAAAUGCGGAAGAGAUAAGUGCUGAAAGCAUCUAAGCACGAAACUUGCCCCGAGAUGAGUUCUCCCUGAGACUUUAAGUCUCCUGAAGGAACGUUGAAGACGACGACGUUGAUAGGCCGGGUGUGUAAGCGCAGCGAUGCGUUGAGCUAACCGGUACUAAUGAACCGUGAGGCUUAACCUU
rnacentral:rRNA from 1 species